UGGGGAAUCUUGCACAAUGGGGGCAACCCUGAUGCAGCGACGCCGCGUGAGCGAUGAAGCCCUUCGGGGCGUAAAGCUCUUUCGGCAGGAACGAUAAUGACGGUACCUGCAGAAGAAGCUGCGGCUAACUACGUGCCAGCAGCCGCGGUAAUACGUAGGCAGCAAGCGUUGUUCGGAGUUACUGGGCGUAAAGAGUAUGUAGGCGGUGUUCUAAGUUCGGUGUGAAAUCUCCCGGCUCAACUGGGAGGGUGCGCCGAAGACUGGGAUGCUGGAGUCUCGGAGAGGAACGCGGAAUUCCUGGUGUAGCGGUGAAAUGCGUAGAUAUCAGGAGGAACACCAGUGGUGUAGACGGCGUUCUGGACGAGUACUGACGCUGAGAUACGAAAGCGUGGGGAGCAAACAG
rnacentral:rRNA from 1 species